UACGUAGGGGGCAAGCGUUGUCCGGAUUUAUUGGGCGUAAAGAGCGUGUAGGCGGCCUGACAGGUCUGCUGUGAAAACUCGAGGCUCAACCUCGAGAUGUCGGCGGAAACCGUCUGGCUAGAGUCCGGAAGAGGAGAGUGGAAUUCCUGGUGUAGCGGUGAAAUGCGCAGAUAUCAGGAAGAACACCUAUGGCGAAGGCAGCGAUCUCUGGGACGGUACUGACGCUGAGACGCGAAAGCGUGGGGAGCGAACAGG
rnacentral:rRNA from 1 species